UACGAAGGGGGCUAGCGUUGCUCGGAAUGACUGGGCGUAAAGGGCGCGUAGGCGGCUCAUACAGUCAGGCGUGAAAUUCCUGGGCUCAACCUGGGGACUGCGCUUGAGACGUGUGGGCUUGAGUGGUGAAGAGGGACGUGGAAUUCCCAGUGUAGAGGUGAAAUUCGUAGAUAUUGGGAAGAACACCGGUGGCGAAGGCGGCGACCUGGUCCUUGACUGACGCUGAGGCGCGAAAGCGUGGGGAGCAAACAGG
rnacentral:rRNA from 1 species